CAGCCGCCGCGGGAAUACGUAGGGUGCAAGCGUUAAUCGGAAUUACUGGGCGUAAAGCGUGCGCAGGCGGUUAUAUAAGUCAGAUGUGAAAUCCCCGGGCUCAACCUGGGAACUGCAUUUGAGACUGUAUGGCUAGAGUGUGUCAGAGGGGGGUAGAAUUCCACGUGUAGCAGUGAAAUGCGUAGAUAUGUGGAGGAAUACCGAUGGCGGAGGCAGCCCCCUGGGAUAACACUGACGCUCAUGCACGAAAGCGUGGGGAGCAAACAGGAUUAGAUACCCCAGUAGUACCUGUCUCUUAUAC
rnacentral:rRNA from 1 species